rnacentral:lncRNA from 1 species
ACCAAGGAGGAAUUUCAGGGUGAAUGGACUGCUCCCGCUCCUGAGUUCACUGCUACUCAGCCUGAGGUUGCAGACUGGUCUGAAGGUGUACAGGUGCCCUCUGUGCCUAUUCAGCAAUUCCCUACUGGUAUGUAUCAGGUCGGGAGGCCAAAGCAGGAGAAUCUCCUGAGCCCAGGAGUUCCAGAUCAGCCUUGGCAAUGUAGCAAGACCCUGUCUCUAAUUCUGUGCUUGGUUUCUCCUUGUGUAAAUUAGAGAAUAGUAGUGCCAUAUCAUGGGGUUGUCAGGAGUCCCACCUACCCCAGCAACUGACAGUCCAGCUUUUUGCAUUUCACAUGCUGCAGUUAAUUGUCACUGUGUAUCUUGUUGGUACUCACGUUGCUAGCAGGAGCAGCAGCUGGGAUUGCUUUUAUCAGCAUCCGAGACAAGUAGGAACUGACUGUCUCUGGGCCUCGUGUCCCAGCACAUUCUAUAAUUUUAGCAAGUGCCCUGAAUGCUGUUGAGGAGGGAGGAUCACUUGAGGUCAAGAGUUCG